rnacentral:rRNA from 1 species
GACGAACGCUGGCGGCGUGCUUAACACAUGCAAGUCGAGCGGAAAGGCCCUUUCGGGGGUACUCGAGCGGCGAACGGGUGAGUAACACGUGAGUAAUCUGCCCUUGGCUUUGGGAUAACUACCGGAAACGGUGGCUAAUACCGGAUACGACCACUCCUUGCAUGAGGUGGUGGUGGAAAGUUUUUCGGCCAGGGAUGUGCUCGCGGCCUAUCAGCUUGUUGGUGGGGUAAUGGCCUACCAAGGCUUCGACGGGUAGCCGGCCUGAGAGGGUGACCGGCCACACUGGGACUGAGACACGGCCCAGACUCCUACGGGAGGCAGCAGUGGGGAAUAUUGGACAAUGGGCGGAAGCCUGAUCCAGCAACGCCGCGUGAGGGAUGACGGCCUUCGGGUUGUAAACCUCUUUCAGUACCGACGAAGCGCCGAUGAUGGUGGUGACGGUAGGUACAGAAGAAGCACCGGCCAACUACGUG